CCUACGGGGAGCAGCAGUGAGGAAUAUUGGACAAUGGACGAGAGUCUGAACCAGCCAAGCCGCGUGAAGGAUGACUGCCUUCGGGGUUGUAAACUUCUUUUAUAAAGGAAUAAAACGAGGGACGUGUGCCUUUUUGCAUUGACUUUAUCAACAAGGCACGCCUAACUUAGUGCCAGCAGCCGCGGUAAUACGGAGGAUCCGAGCGUUAUCCGGAUUUAUUGGGUGUAACGUGAGCGUAGAUGGGUUGUUAAGUCAGUUGUGAAAGUUUGCGGCUCAACCGUGAAAGUGCAAUUGAUACUGGCAGUCUUGAGUACAGUAGAGGGAGGCGGAAUUCGAGGUGUAGCGGUGAAAUGCGUAGAGAUCAGGAGGAACCCCGGUGGCGAAGGCGGCUUACUGAACUGUGACUGACGUUGAGGCGCGAAAGUGUGGGGAUCAAACAGGAUUAGAUACCCGAGUAGUC
rnacentral:rRNA from 1 species